AUUGAACGCUGGCGGCAUGCCUUACACAUGCAAGUCGAACGGCAGCGCGGGAGCAAUCCUGGCGGCGAGUGGCGAACGGGUGAGUAAUAUAUCGGAACGUGCCCAUACGUCGGGGAUAGCCCGGCGAAAGCCGGAUUAAUCCCGCAUGCGACCUGAGGGUCAAAGCGGCGGAUCGCAAGACUUCGCGCUAUUGGAGCGGCCGAUAUCCGAUUAGCUAGUUGGUGGGGUAAAGGCCUAACAAGGUAACGAUCUGUAGUUGGUCUGAGAGGACGAGCAGGCACACUGGGACUGAGACACGGCGCAGACUCCUACGGGAGGCAGCAGUGGGGAAUUUGGGAAAAUGGGAGAAAGCCUGAUCCAGCGAUGCCGCGUGCAGGAAGAAGGCCUUCGGGUUGUAAACUUCUUUUGUCAGGUAAGAAAUCCUUUGGGCUAAUACCUCGGAGGGAUGACGGUACCUGAAGAAUAAGCACCGGCUAACUACGUGCCAGCCGCCGCCGUAA
rnacentral:rRNA from 1 species